rnacentral:tRNA from 1 species
GAGGCGUUAGUUAAUCAAUAACACCCCCUUGUCAAGGGGGAAUAACAGGUUAAACCCCUGUACCCCUCU